rnacentral:rRNA from 1 species
UUUAACGGCCGCGGUAUCUUAACCGUGCAAAGGUAGCAUAAUCAAUUGUCCUUUAAAUUAGGACUAGUAUGAACGGCAUCACGAGGGUUUAACUGUCUCCCCCUUUUAAUCAAUGAAACUAAUUUUCCCGUGAAGAAGCGGGAAUGUAAUUAUAAGACGAGAAGACCCCAUGGAGCUUUAAACUUAACAUCACUUAUUAAAUAAUAAAACACACCACAUAAUAAGAGUGCUUUAUAGUUUUUGGUUGGGGCGACCCUGGAGAAUAACAAAUCCUCCAGAUUGAAAUGAAUAACUAACCUUAUACAAGAACCACAAUUCAAACAAACAAAAAUUUGACAAUACUGACCCAGAAUAAACUGACCAGUGAACCAAGUUACCCUGGGGAUAACAGCGCAAUCCAUUUUAAGAGCCCUUAUCGACAAAUGGGUUUACGACCUCGAUGUUGGAUCAGGAUAUCCAAGCAGCGCAGCCGUUGCUAGUGGUUCGUUUGUUCAACGAUUAA